CUUCUCAGGAGCCUUCUUCAGGGCAUUGGAUUUUGCUGGGGUUUACGCAAACUGCUUCUUGUUUGGGAUCCUGCCUCCAGUCAUGGCCUGGAUUCAUCGAUCACAGCAGAGAAAGAGAUCACCUGAUUCUUCUGAAGAUAUUUUGCCUGGUGGAAAUGCCGUUCUCUUGAUACUUUUCGUUAUUGCUGUGGUCCUAGCAAUAUGGCACUAGAAGAAGGUAAGCAUGUCAGGAAGUUUGUUUCUUUAGCAGUUCAUUAGUUCAUCACAAGCAUAAGCAUUGUUGUGGUUAGAAUUUCUAGACUUUCAUUGUUCAUGGCUUCAUGUUUCAAUUCCUCUUCCUUAUUUCAUGUUGAAUUCCCUCUUUCAA